rnacentral:rRNA from 1 species
UACUCCUACGGGAGGCAGCAGUGGGGAAUAUUGCACAAUGGGCGCAAGCCUGAUGCAGCGACGCCGCGUGAGGGAUGGAGGCCUUCGGGUUGUAAACCUCUUUUAUCGGGGAGCAAGCGAGAGUGAGUUACCCGU